rnacentral:rRNA from 1 species
GUGAGUAACGCGUAGGAAUAUGCCUUGAAGAGGGGGACAACUUGGGGAAACUCAAGCUAAUACCGCAUAAUGUCUGAGGACGAAAGCUGGGGACCUUCGGGCCUGGCGCUUUAAGAUUAGCCUGCGUCCGAUUAGCUAGUUGGUGGGGUAAGGGCCUACCAAGGCGACGAUCGGUAGCUGGUCUGAGAGGAUGACCAGCCACACUGGAACUGAGACACGGUCCAGACUCCUACGGGAGGCAGCAGUGGGGAAUAUUGGACAAUGGGGGCAACCCUGAUCCAGCAAUGCCGCGUGUGUGAAGAAGGCCUGAGGGUUGUAAAGCACUUUCAGUGGGGAGGAGGGUUGAUAGGUUAAGAGCUGAUUAACUGGACGUUACCCACAGAAGAAGCACCGGCUAACUCCGUGCCAGCAGCCGCGGUAAUACGGAGGGUGCGAGCGUUAAUCGGAAUUACUGGGCGUAAAGGGUGCGUAGGUGGUUGAUUAAGUUAUCUGUGAAAUUCCUGGGCUUAACCUGGGACGGUCAGAUAAUACUGGUUGACUCGAGUAUGGGAGAGGG